UAUUCAACUACUAAAACUCAACCA
rnacentral:tRNA from 1 species